GUCUCACCACACCCCUCUCUACAACCUCAUCUGACGAACGCUGGUUCAAGAUGCGUGUGGCUCAGCACAUAUUAUGGCAUGUUGAAAGGAGGCAGGCAGAUGGGAUGGGAGCUGUUACUUCAAUGAAAGUCCUCGAUGGAGCAGCCGCUGUUAUGCGCCGAGCGGUGGCUGCACUGUGAGUGAUGCAGAGAUUAACUUGAGGAACAGAAGGCCCAUGCGGGCUGAGGGACAGCAGCUGUUUUGGUGGACAAAGCGGAGAUGCCCAGAGCUGACCACAGAGUCACAGGAGGAAAAUCUGUAGGCCAGGAGAGCUUAGUCUAUCAAGCACGCACCACCAGACUCAGCUGCCAAGAGCCUGCCUGCCCCCACGGCUUCUCCACCCAACUUCAAACAAUGAAAAACUGCAGCCUGAUAACAUAAUUCACUCUCUACUUGCUGAAGAAUUUAUCUUGGAAGGUUCAUGCCUUUACUGUGAUUUGAGCUGAGGUGAAUCACUAUGUAAAACUGUAAAUGUUUGAACCAAACAUAAUGCUGACCUCAUUAGAAGCAGGACUGUACUGGUCAGUAAUAAAGUGUAUGAUCA